rnacentral:rRNA from 1 species
AUGAUACCGUUUAAGAAUAACAUCUUUGUGUGGUAUCUUCAUCGAGGAGUCAUUCUUACCAAAGAUUACCUUAUUAAGAAGAAUUGGCGUAUAAAUAUGCAAUGUGUUUUUUGUCAUCAUGACAAAACAAUAAAACACUUGUUCUUCCAAUUCAAAUUAGCUCGGUCUAUAUGGUCAAUCAUCCAAAUAGCUUCUCGCUUGUAUCCUUCAUGUAGUGUUGCUAACCUUUUUGGUAACUGA